UCACGCUCGGAGGAGAGGGGUAUAGUCUCUUUUUCAGAGAAGAUAUAAGCUUUUUUUUCUCAGGCCCCACAGAUCUACAAAAGCCCAUGGUGCAAUUAAUUAUUCACAAGUGCCACAACACGGCCCACAGAUGAAUAAUGCAUGAAGCAAUUUGAAAAAAUAUAAAGGCUUAAGUAGGAAAGUGUGUCGUUAGCCGAAGGUGAUGGCGACCAAAGACUGCACAACAAUGAGAAAUCAGAUAUCAUGGUUGUGGUCAAUAAAUGAGAGGUGUGGGUUCUGAUUAAUUCUUGUUUAUGAUGAUUAAAUCAAGAGUGUGUUUUACAUGCACUUCAUAAUCUGAAUACUGAAGAAGAUUGAAGCUUGUCAGUGAACCAAUCAACACUUUUACAUGAAUUUAGGUGAUCAGACAAUGUUGGGCUAUGUUAGACUUUGUUGGGACUGCCACCUGAAAUCAGAUUUCUGGCAUAUCUAGAUUGGAUCCACUAUCCAGAUUGAUGUUUUGAUAGCCUUGACAGCCAUCUAGUUUCUGUACAUCAGACCAAAUUUUGGAAGUGGUUUGAAAUGUGAUUCCAAUUUGAUUAUUUACAGAUGCAUCUCAGUCAAACAAACAAUAACCUCUUUAAAUUCAAACUGUGGGGAACCAAGAACACCACCAAAGAAACAAAUCGGAUUUGUUUUCACACACUCGGAAAUCUGAGAAUGCUCCAGGUUACUGAGUGCAUAUAAAUGCACUUCUUGAGAAGAACAGCUCAGGCUCAGGCUGAAUGCUAUGGAGGAGAGAACAGCUGAAAGCAUUUCCUGUACUUUCUUCAGUUGCACAAAAGUAUCUCUUGUGAGCAGGACUCUGUUUGUUUGUGCAAGCCAGCACUCCAGAAGCUCUUGCAUGUUCUCAGAAAAGACAAGCAUGUUCUCCUCUCAGAGUCACUUUACUCACACUACAGCUCUCGUGAUAUGAAGCGAAGCUUUCUCUAGGAGAGUCUGAGAUGUAAAUGCAUAGAAUGGGCUUUUUAUAACGGUCAAACAAGUCAUUCUUCACUUCAUGAUCGUGCAGCUGAAAAUACAAAGAGACAGUAUGGCAGUAGUGUACUACUUACACAUAAUAAAAGUGCAAUGAUUUUUAUAAAUUGACUUACUGAAUUUGUCUAUCACAGUAAAGUGCGUGGGACUUGUGCUUCAGAUACACACACAACCUUUUUUUCCCUCAUUUGCCAACAAAAAUAUUUACACUGAUAAAUUACACUCACACGUAGCCAAACCUGGCUUGAGCACUCCUAUUGGUGGAAAAUUCAGUUCUGCAGCCUCAAUUGAUGAUGACACAGAGAGGGACUGUGUUCCAGUGUCAUACUCCACACAAUACAAAAAAUGAUGUACUGUAUCCUAACUUUAAAAGCCUGUGUUUGUUAGAUACACAAUAUUGUGUUUGUACCGUAUACUAAUGUACUUGCAUUAGUUGCUGCAGCAAAACAGAAUAGUCUCUGAUUGGCUUAGUUCUCCCCUUCCUGACCCAUAAUACGUUCAUUACUGGACCCCAAUUGUGCAUUUUUAAAUAUGCUAACAGGCUGAAAACCCUCGCUGUCAUGCGAGAAAUAAAUGAUGAUGAUUUUUCCACAUUUUGCAAUUGAAAAUCUGCUUUUCUUAAAAUGAAAAUGAAAAUUUAAGAAUGGUGUUUCCUCAUAAUGAAUGUUGAUGUGAAAAGUGAUGUGAAAAAGUUGUUGGAAAUAAAAGGCUUUUGUGUGAAUGAUUGACAUACUC